rnacentral:rRNA from 1 species
GAAACUAACCAGGAUUCCCCCAGUAACGGCGAGUGAAGGGGGAUUAGCCCAGCAUCGAAGCCUGCGCCCGAUUGGGUGCAAGGCAAUGUGAUGUUUCGGUGUAUGCCUAGGGUCACCGGUCAACUCGAAGUCCAAUAUUGAAUGUGGCUUAUUUAUUUGGCCCACAGCGGGUGAAAGGCCCGUGCGAGUUGGCUGUUAGUCAUGUUAUGGUGGCCUCUAGAUGCAUGCGCUGUGGAGUCGGAUUGCUUGAGAAUGCAGUCCAAAGUUGGUGGUAAACUCCAUCAAAGGCUAAAUACUGGCACGAGUCCGAUAGCAAACAAGUACCGUGAGGGAAAGUUGAAAAGUACUCUGAAGAGAGAGUAACCAGUCCGUGAAACCACAUACAGGUAAACUGGUGGAGUCCAGCUGCGUGUUCUGGAGACAUAGCUGGCGUGCUAUGGCCGCGCAUGGUUUGCCGUUAAAGGCAAGUUGGGUCUGCGCCUGAUUCGUGUUGCGUUGUACGCGACGCGAGCCGUGCAGUGCGCGUUUUGCAUGCAAGUGUCUCUCUUCAGAACUGGCAUCACAGUCAAUGUUACUGCUAGUGUGUGAUGGUCAAAGCGUCGAAUGGUGGGCCUCGAAGCUCACCUUCUGCGUGGAUGGCAGGUGGUUCAUUUGUUUGCCUUGUGUAAAUGAGUGGGCUUAAAUUUGGUUGUGGCCGGCCGACUAUCAUGCAGGUUUAUUUAUGCAUUUCACCAUGCAGUACAUUGGGGACGCGUAGCGUUGCUUAACCAUUUGAAUGUCCUGCUGGCCCGCGUCCGGUUAUGUGUAAAAGCGUGCCGAAUGUGUGGCUUAGUUAUGGGUGUUAAGAUGGUGCAGCCGCGUCGUUGCAUAAACUGUGGUGUUGUGGUA